rnacentral:misc_RNA from 1 species
CGGACGGGUCGCAUCGGCGGCGAUGUUCGCUCUCGUGCUCG